rnacentral:rRNA from 1 species
GUGCCAGCCGCCGCGGUAAUACAGAGGGUGCGAGCGUUAAUCGGAUUUACUGGGCGUAAAGCGUGCGUAGGCGGCUUUUUAAGUCGGAUGUGAAAUCCCUGAGCUUAACUUAGGAAUUGCAUUCGAUACUGGGAAGCUAGAGUAUGGGAGAGGAUGGUAGAAUUCCAGGUGUAGCGGUGAAAUGCGUAGAGAUCUGGAGGAAUACCGAUGGCGAAGGCAGCCAUCUGGCCUAAUACUGACGCUGAGGUACGAAAGCAUGGGGAGCAAACAGGAUUAGAAACCCUCGUAGUCC